CAAUAGCGUAUAUUAAAGUUGUUGCAGUUAAAAAGCUCGUAGUUGGAUUUGUGGUGUACUUCGGCGGCCCGUCACUAUGUGAUGGAGCUUGCUGAAGUCGCCAUCCUUGGGUGGAUCCUGUGUGGCAUUAAGUUGUCGUGCAGGGGAUGCCCAUCGUUUACUGUGAAAAAAUUAGAGUGUUCAAAGCAGGCUUAUGCCGUUGAAUAUAUUAGCAUGGAAUAAUAAGAUAGGACCUUGGUACUAUUUUGUUGGUUUGCGCACCGAGGUAAUGAUUAAUAGGGACAGUUGGGGGUAUUCGUAUUUCAUUGUCAGAGGUGAAAUUCUUGGAUUUUUGAAAGACGAACUACUGCGAAAGCAUUUACCAAGGAUGUUUNCAUUA
rnacentral:rRNA from 1 species